rnacentral:rRNA from 1 species
GGUGCGUAACGCGUAUGUAACUUGCCUUAUGCAGCGAGGAUAACCCGAAGAAAUUCGGCCUAAUACUCCAUAAGUGUCAGAGAGGCAUCUUUCGGGCAUGAAAGAUUUAUCGGCAUAAGAUAGACAUGCGUGACAUUAGCUAGUCGGUGAGGUAACGGCUCACCGAGGCGACGAUGUCUAGGGUUCUGAGAGGAAGGUCCCCCACACUGGUACUGAGACACGGACCAGACUCCUACGGGAGGCAGCAGUGAGGAAUAUUGGUCAAUGGACGGAAGUCUGAACCAGCCAUGCCGCGUGCAGGAUGACGGCUCUAUGAGUUGUAAACUGCUUUUGUACGAGAAUAAUAGUUCUUACGUGUAGGGAUUUGAAUGUAUCGUACGAAUAAGGAUCGGCUAACUCCGUGCCAGCAGCCGCGGUAAUACGGAGGAUUCGAGCGUUAUCCGGAUUUAUUGGGUUUAAAGGGUGCGUAGGCUGUCGGAUAAGUUAGAGGUCAAAUGUCGGGGCUUAACCCCGUGCCUGCCUCUGAUACUGUUCGACUGGAGAGCGGAUGCAGCAGGCGGAAUGAGUAGUGUAGCGGUGAAAUGCUU